rnacentral:rRNA from 1 species
AGUGAAUAGAUACCCAGGUAGUUCACGCCCUAAACGAUGUCAACUAGGUGUUGGGAGGGUUAAACCUUUUAGUGCCGUAGCUAAACGCGUGAAAGUUGACCGCCUGGGGAGUACGGCCGCAAGGCUAAAACUCAAAGGAAUUGACGGGGACCCGCACAAGCGGUGGAUGAUGUGGAUUAAUUCGAUGCAACGCGAAAAACCUUACCUACCCUUGACAUGUCAGGAAUCCUGGAGAGAUCUGGGAGUGCCCGCAAGGGAGCCUGAACACAGGUGCUGCAUGGCUGUCGUCAGCUCGUGUCGUGAGAUGUUGGGUUAAGUCCCGCAACGAGCGCAACCCUUGUCAUUAAUUGCCAUCAUUGAGUUGGGCACUUUAAUGGGACUGCCGGUGACAAACCGGAGGAAGGUGGGGUAUGACGUCAAGUCCUCAUGGCCCUUAUGGGUAGGGCUUCACACGUCAUACAAUGGUCGGUUCAGAGGGUUUGCCAACCCGCGAGGGGUAGCCAAUCUCAGAAAGCCGAUCGUAGUCCGGAUCGCAGUCUGCAAC